GCUGGGCAUGGUGGUGCAUGCCUCUAGUCCCAGCUACUUAGGAGGCUGAGGUAGGAGGAUGGCUUGAGCUUAGGAGUUUGAGGCUGCAGUGAGCUCUGAUUGUGCCACUGCACUCCAGCCUGAGUUACAAAGUGAGACCCUGUCUCCA
ensembl:misc_RNA Metazoa_SRP Metazoan signal recognition particle RNA